rfam:Ictidomys tridecemlineatus contig085799, whole genome shotgun sequence.
GGGAUGUAGCUCAUUGGUAGAGUAUUUGCCUAGCAUGCACAAGGCUUUAGGUUUGAUUCCUAGCACCACCA